rnacentral:rRNA from 1 species
ACUCCUACGGGAGGCAGCAGUGGGGAAUAUUGGACAAUGGGCGCAAGCCUGAUCCAGCCAUACCGCGUGUGUNAAGAAGGCCUUNGGGUUGUAAAGCACUUUAAGCAGGGAGAAAAANNUAUAAGUUAAUACCUUAUNNCCUUGAUGUUACCUGCAGAAUAAGCACCGGCUAACUCC